AAUGUGAAUCACCAAACCAUUUAAUUCAAAAAUUAGGAAAAUACUAAAAAAGUGUGGAAGUUAAGCAAUAAUACUAAACAUAGUCUAACUAGGACCCGGUGUCACAGAAAUGAGCCUCCAAAUACAGAGUGUCAUUCUACUACAAAGUCUACCUAAAAGAUGAAAAUGUGAAAAUAAAGGAUAGAGAUAGAGGGGAGAAAUCAAUGGUUGCGAACGCCGUGCAGCUACUUCGACACUCUCGGGAAGUUAACUCUGCUGAUCAACUCGAUCUACUCAGCUUGGGAAGAACCUGGAUCUGCACGCAAGGUGCAUGGAGUAAAGUGAGUACUUCGACCCAGUGAGUAAUAAACAUAAAUACAGUCUGAAAGUAAGAAAACGCAAAAAACACACAGAGUAACAUAUAUCUAGCAGUUCAUAUCAAUAUCAAUGUAAAUAGUAAAAGAGUAAUACAUUUAAGGAAAUAAUGCAUGAAUAGAUGCCAACACAUAUAAAAAGUGAGGAAAACUAAUGAAGAUCCCUUAUGGAUUCUACAGGUCGGCACAAGGCCCCAAACAUGGAAAUAAGCCCAAUUCACAGUAAUAAGGUAUGUGUCUCAAUCGCCAAUAUAGUGGAAAUAACACUCGGGAUAGACCAAGUCACCAUCCCCAAUAAUAAACGACCCCGCACUCAUCAUAGAAUGCGUGUCACGCCUCAAUAUAACAUUACGAUGUGAAAUUUCGGGGUUGCAAACCCUCAGAGCAGCACUUACAUCUAUUAUUCACCUCUAGCCGGCCAAAGACUAGAUCGCAAUGCCCUUUCCUCUCGAAUCGACCUCCUCGCGCAUCAAAUC
rnacentral:lncRNA from 1 species